CAGACACUUGACUCACACGCGCAGCACACAUAUCCUCUCUAAACCCUAACGCAAAACGGCGUCGGUUGCUCAAGUCUCGUUUCAUCUCGUCAUCGGCGGUUGCUCUUCGCAGCUCUUCUUUUGCUACAAUGGUGUCGUCCGGCAAGAAGACGAAGAAGACUCAUGAGAGCAUAAAUUAACAACCGGUUGGCGGUUGUGAUGAAGAGUGGAAAGUACACUCUUGGUUACAAGACUGUUCUCAAAACGAUCAGGAGCUCCAAAGUUCAGCAUGAAGUUGCAGUGCAAGCUCAUGAAGUGUCUCGUUAUAGUUGAAGAAAAUGGCAUUAGGGAAAGUAGAUGACGCGUUCAACUCCCUUAUAAUGACCUAUCAAAUGGCUGAGCUGUUUAUUCUCUACCCCAUUCACAACAUUACCUACCUUGUCACCCUAGAUGUGACUAGGAAUAGUUGUAAUGAUUUCACUGGAUUCAGUUUCUAUGAAGGUUGUUUCUCUGAUUAACUGUUGGAUUACUUUGUCAAAUGAUGCCGUUAAUUUGUAGACAAUGUUGAUCUGGGAAGUGCAUGCGGGAAGUAUUUCCGGGCCACUCAGAUAUAAUCAACCAGUGACAUCUACAACGUCGCAUUUCUGUAGAACAUCUAGGGUCUGUUUGAUAUGUGUUUAAAAGCAUGAUAAGUUAAAUUAAUAUGGAUUUAUGUAGUGUUUGAUAUUAUGUGUUACUAAUAUGGUCAACUCCAGGUUUAUCCCAAGACCCUAGCUUAUUUUGUGGGAU